rnacentral:lncRNA from 1 species
CUAGGACAUUUAAUUCCUAGUAGUGUGGAGGUGGCGGUGGCGAUGAGUAGUAAUAAACGGGAGGUGGUGGGGAAUGGUAUACUGGUGGUGGUGGAGAAUGAUAGACCGGAGGUGGUGGGAGUGGUAUACUGGUGGUGGUGGAGAGUAGACGGGAGGUGGAUAGUAUACUUUCUUUGGUGGUGGUGGAGAGUAGACGGGAGGAGGGUAGUAUACCUUCUUCGGUGGUGGUGGAGAGUAGACGGGUGGUGGGUAGUAUACCUUCUUCGGUGGUGGUGGAGAGUAGACGGGUGGUGGGUAGUAUACCUUCUUCGGUGGUGGUGGAGAGUAGACGGGUGGUGGGUAGUAUACCUUCUUCGGUGGUGGUGGUGAGUAGACGGGGGGUGGGUAGUAUACCUUCUUCGGUGGUGGUGGUGAGUAGACGGGAGGUGGGUAGUACACCUUCUUCGGUGGUGGUGGUGAGUAGACGGGAGGUGGGUAGUACACCUUCUUCGGUGGUGGUGGUGAGUAGACGGGAGGUGGGUAGUAUACCUUCUUUGGCGGUGGUGGUGAGUAGACUGGUGGUGGGUAGUAUACUUUCUUUGGUGGUGGAGGAGACUUAUAGACGGGUGGUGGAUAGUAUACCUUCUUGGGAGGUGGGGGAGACUUGUAGACUGGAGGUGGGUAGUAUACCUUCUUUGGUGGUGGAGGAGACUUAUAGACGGGAGGAGGGUAGUAUACCUUCUUGGGAGGUGGGGGAGACUUGUAGACGGGAGGUGGGUAGUACACCUUCUUGGGAGGUGGGGGAGACUUGUAGACGGGAGGUGGGUAGUACACCUUCUUGGGAGGCGGGGGAGACUUGUAGACGGGAGGUGGGUAAUACACCUUCUUAGGUGGCGGAGGAGACUUGUAGACGGGAGGUGGGUAAUAAACCUUCUUGGGUGGCGGAGGAGACUUGUAGACAGGAGGUGGGUAAUACACCUUCUUUGGUGGUGGUGGAGAGUAAACUGGUGGUGGAUAGUAAACCUUCUUGGGUGGUGGUGGAGAGUGAUACACUGGAGGUGGAUAGUAUGAUUUCUUGGGUGGUGGAGGAGAAUGGUAUACUGGAGGCGGGUAAUAUACCUUCUUAGGUGGAGGAGGAGAAGCGUAGAUAUAAUUAGCAUUGGUAGUGGACGGCAGAGUUAGGGAAAGGAGAGCAACAAAGGCAGCAAAAAGAAUAGGAGCCAUUGAAGAUCCCAUUUUUCCCAUCCUUGAAUGGAUUG